rnacentral:rRNA from 1 species
UACGUAGGGGGCAAGCGUUGUCCGGAUUUACUGGGCGUAAAGAGCGUGUAGGCGGCCACGCAGGUCCGUUGUGAAAACUGGAGGCUCAACCUCCAGCUGUCGACGGAAACCGUAUGGCUAGAGUCCGGAAGAGGAGAGUGGAAUUCCUGGUGUAGCGGUGAAAUGCGCAGAUAUCAGGAAGAACACCAAUGGCGAAGGCAGCUCUCUGGGACGGUACUGACGCUGAGACGCAAAAGCGUGGGGAGCGAACAGG